GCGCCAGUAGCUCAAUGGCAGAGCACCAGAUUGUGGAUCUGGUGGUUGUGGGUUCGAGCCCCAUCUGGCGCCCUA
rnacentral:tRNA from 1 species